GAUGAACGCUGACAGAAUGCUUAACACAUGCAAGUCUUUGGCGAAGCUGUGCUCGCCCAGCCUAGCCAAGGCGGACGGGUGAGUAACGCGUAAGGAACUUGCCCUGCAGUCAGGGAUAACAGACGGAGACGACUGAUAAGACCUGGUAAAGUCAGGCGGACUCAUGUCCAGCCUGAUGAAAAGAGAUGCUGCAGGAGAGCCUUGCGUCCUAUUAGCUUGUUGGUGGGGUAACGGCCCACCAAGGCGAUGAUAGGUAGCCGGCCUGAGAGGGUGGACGGCCACAAGGGGACUGAGAUACGGCCCUUACUCCUACGGGAGGCAGCAGUGGGGAAUAUUGGACAAUGGGGGCAACCCUGAUCCAGCAAUUCUGUGUGCACGAUGAAGGUUUUCGGAUUGUAAAGUGCUUUCAGCAGGGAAGAAAAAAAUGACGGUACCUGCAGAAGAAGCGACGGCUAAAUACGUG
rnacentral:rRNA from 1 species